GAGUUUACUCCGUGGACACAGUCUCAAGAUAAUUUACCUUGUGAUCUGUGAACAGUGGCUGACGACAGCAGCACUGGGGGCCUGGCGCUUUCCUUGUGCCUCGAGGUUGUAACGGCCCUGUUUGUGCUGGGUUUAGGAAGUCGGAAGAAGUGCCCAUGCUUCUGUGUGGGGCAGGUUUUCAUUUUGUACGAGUCCUUCCCCUGGGAUGGAACGUGGCAUAAAAUCUGAGUUAUCAUUAGCAUUUAAAUGUAAUUGAAGCCUGUACAGCUUGGGGAAAAAAUUCUUAAGGUAUGGACGACAAGGGUGACCCGAGCAGUGAGGAGGCGCCCAAAGCCAUCAAGCCCACCAGCAAGGAGUUCCGGAAGACAUGGGGCUUCCGGAGGACCACCAUUGCUAAGCGUGAGGGUGCCGGGGAUGCGGAGGCGGACACCUUGGAGCCGUCGCCCCGGCAGCAGCAAAGUCCAUCUCUGCGGCGCAGUGGGCGGCAGCCGAAGCGCACUGAGCGGGUGGAGGAGUUUCUGACCACUGUGCGGCGCCGUGGCCGUCGGAGUGCCCCCGUGUCCCUGGAGGACUCUGGGGAGCCAGCAUCCUGUCCAGCGACAGACGCGGAGACCGCCUCUGAAGGCAGUGUGGAGAGCGCCUCGGACGGAAAGAGUGGGCCCAGGUCCAGCUCCACGGGUGCUAAGCAGCGGCCGGCCUCCUCGGCAAAGGCUAGAGAGGGCGAAGACGAGGACGACACGUCCGACAGCGAUAGCGACGGACUGACCUUGAAGGAACUCCAGAACCGCCUGCGGAAGAAGCGUGAGCAGGAGCCCGCGGACCGGCCCGCAAGGGGCAUCCAGAACCGCCUGCGGAGGAAACGGCGGGAGGAGGACCCGGCUGAGACCGUGGACGUCCAGGCGGGUGAUGCGAUGGAGGGCUCGCUGCCCACCUCACGGGAGCCUGAGGGCGACCUGGGGGCUGCUGCCCAGGCAGUGAAAGAGGACAGAGAGGGCCGGCCGGAUGGGAGAGUGGCCCCGGGAGGGAGAGCCGAGGAAGCCGCAGACUUGGUCCGGCACAAGCCGGAGUGUGAGGUGUACGACCCCAGCGCCCUGUACUGCCUGUGCCGCCAGCCUCACAACAACAGGUUUAUGAUUUGCUGUGACCGGUGUGAAGAAUGGUUUCAUGGUGACUGUGUGGGCAUUUCUGAGGCUCGAGGGCGGCUCUUGGAGAGGAAUGGGGAAGACUACAUCUGCCCCAACUGCACGAUCCUGCAGGUGCAAGAUGAGGCCAGCUCAGAAGCCACAGACAUGCAGGACACGAGGUCAGGACCCCUGGGUGCCGACAGCACGGACUUCACCAGUAUAGGAACCGUGGAGCAGAAGUCAAGUGAAGACCAGGGAAUUAAGGGUAGAAUUGAAAAAGCUGCAAACCCAAGUGGCAAGAAGAAACUCAAGAUAUUCCAGCCCGUCGUGGAAGCACCUGGUGCUGCCAAGUGCAUCGGCCCUGGGUGCUCGAGCGUGGCACAGCCCGACUCGGUCUACUGCAGCAACGACUGCAUCCUGAAGCACGCCGCGGCCACCAUGCGCUUCCUGAGUGCAGGGAAGGAGCAGAAACCCAAAGCAAAAGAAAAGCUCAAGACAAAGCCAGAAAAAAUCGUUCUUCAAAAAUGUAGCGUUCAAGCAGGCAUUAAAAUCUCUUCUGUGCACAAGAGACUGGCUUCAGACAAGAAGGAAAACGCGGUGAAGAAGGCAGCAGUGGCCCCUCCCAGGAAUGAGGUCCUCAGUAAGGAGCCAGUCUGUGAGAGCAGCACGCCGUCCUGGGCCAGCGACCACAAUUACAAUGCAGUAAAGCCAGAACAGACUGCUGCCCCCUGGCCGCCACUGUUGUAUAAAUCCAUGAAGGAGGACAGACGCAUGGAGGACAAGAUGGCUGUGGUGGUGGCGAAGAAGUUGGCUCCUCCAGGCUCCUCGGGGGCCGGCAGACAACCCCCAGGCAGAAAUCUCCUUCCAAAGAAGUCCCCUUCUUUUGCAAACACAGCAGUGGCCAAGCCCACUGUCAGAAAGUCGCCCUCAGGCUUCAAGGGCACCAUCCCCAAGAGGCCAUGGCUCUCGGCCACCACCUCCCCCUCGGGCAGUGCUCCUCCUGCCAAGCAGGCAGGGCUGGUGACUGCUGCUGCCGCAUCUGCUUCCAGAAAGUUCCCCAGCUCUGCUGCUUCUGUGGGAGCUGUCAGGAAGCCUGGGAGCACCUCGGUUUCCCUGGCCUCUCCAGCGCCAGGACGCCUGGGCCCCGUGAGCCCCGCCUCAUCACAGCCAAAUUCACAAAUUCGGCAGAACAUAAGACGCUCCUUGAAGGAGAUCUUGUGGAAAAGAGUCAAUGACAGCGAUGACUUAAUCAUGACAGAAAAUGAAGUAGGGAAAAUUGCACUGCUCAUCGAGAAGGAGAUGUUUAACUUGUUCCGAGUCACGGACAAUCGGUACAAGAGCAAGUACCGCAGCCUCAUGUUCAACCUCAAGGACCCCAAAAACCAGGGACUUUUCCAUCGAGUUCUGCGUGAAGAAAUCUCAUUGGCAAAACUGGUGAGAAUGAAGCCAGAAGAACUGGUCUCCAAAGAGCUCUCUGUGUGGAGAGAGCGAACGACAAAGCCCGUGAUGGAGUCCAGAACGAAAUUGCACAAUGAGACUAAGAAGCCUGCCAUUAAACAGGAAGCUGUGCCCGACAUGGAAGACUCUCCACCAGUGUCAGACUCAGACGAACAGCAAGAGUCGGUGCGGGCGGCCCCCGAGCGGAGUGCAGCACCGCUGCCGGGCGUCUUCAGCAGCAUGCUGCAGGACACAACCAGCCAGCACCGGGCGCACCUCUUUGACCUGAACUGCAAAAUCUGCACGGGUCAGGUUCCAUCCUCGGAAGAUGAACCAGCUCCGAAAAAACAGAAGUUAUCAGCUUCUGUCAAGAAGGAGGAGUCCAAGUCCAAGCGAGACAGCCCCCCACCUGAACCAGUUCUCAGCGAGGCAGAUGACGCAGCACCCGAAACCCCACCUGAAAAUGCCUCAGAGCCAGACCUGGAAAGUGCAGCUCGCACCCACUUGGAGGGGAAGUACCUCCCAGUGCCUCUGGAGGACACCCAGCCUGAGCCCCCCGCCCUGGAAGGUCUGCCCUGCCUCACCCCUGGUGGUGGCAGCGUGCUCACCACGGUCACAAUGUCCGGCCGGGACCCCAGGACUGCACUGGGCGGGCCGAGCACGGCCACAGCUCCCGCAGCAACCCACCCGGAGGGCACUGCCCCGGCAGAGCCCCGACAAGAUGUACCGAAGCCAGUGCCACCCUCCGUGACAGUGCCCAAGUCCAUCCUGGCCAAGCCUUCUGCGUCCCCCGAGCCCAGAUACCUCCUGUCGGUGCCGCCGUCCCCAAGCAUCAGCAUCUCAGAGUCCCGGUCCCCUCCUGAAGGAGACACAACCCUCUUCUUAUCUCGACUCAGCACCAUUUGGAAAGGAUUUAUUAACAUGCAAAGCGUAGCCAAGUUUGUCACUAAGGCGUAUCCUGUCUCUGGAUGUUUUGAUUAUCUCAGUGAGGACCUGCCCGACACAAUUCACAUUGGCGGGAGGAUUGCUCCAAAGACCGUUUGGGAUUACAUCGGCAAGCUCAAAUCCUCAGUGUCCAAGGAGCUCUGUCUGAUCCGCUUCCACCCCGCGACCGAGGAGGAGGAGGUGGCCUACAUCUCACUGUACUCCUACUUCAGCAGCCGCGACCGCUUCGGCGUUGUGGCCAACAACAGCCGGCACGUCAAGGACCUCUACCUGAUCCCACUCAGCGCUGCCGACCCCAUCCCCUCCAAACUGCUGCCCUUUGAGGGGCCAGGUCUCGAGUCACCGCGUCCAAACAUAAUCCUCGGGUUAGUAAUCUGUCAGAAAACAAAACGGCCCUCAGGUGCUGGCGAGCUAGACAAGACGGAGGAGAAGCGGGCUCGCCUGCUGACACAGGACGAGGUGGAGCCUGUCCACCCCAAAGUGCCUGCUGCCCUGCCACCGGAGAAGAGGCCCCCCAAGUACCAGCUCUGCCCAGGGGACACGGCUGUCAGCACCACGCCCCCAGGCUCUCCCCCACCCCCACCCCCUCCUCCAGAAGCACCUGGGGCGCCAGGCUCGUCUUCCGUGUUGAAAAUACUGUCGACCCUCAAACCAGGAGCCACAGCACCGUCCGGGACGGCGGCAGCAGCUCCAGUGGCUGCUUCCUCUGUCUCUUCUACUUCAAAGACCGCCUCGCCCCUGGAACACAUCCUGCAGACUCUCUUUGGGAAGAAGAAGUCCUUUGACCCCCUCUCCAAAGAGCCUGUGGAGUCGGCCCCAGCCCCCCACCAGGACUCCAAAGCCAAGACCGAUGGGGGGCUGACGGCAGCACCCUUGCUGGACCCCAUCGUCCAGCAGUUCGGUCAGCUCUCCAAAGACAGAGCCCUGGAGGAGGAGGAGGACGAUAGGCCGUAUGACCCUGAGGAAGAGUACGGUCCUGAGAGAGCCCUGGACACUCCGCCCAGUGACCGGGCUAGGCACCAGGACGCGGAAGAGGCCCCUGAGGCAGCUGAGCGGGAGGAGGUGGCCUACGACCCCGAGGAUGAGACGAUCUUAGAGGAAGCCAAAGUGACCAUCGAUGACCUGCCCAACAGAAUGUGUGUAGACACACGUGGCGGGCCUGGCCUCUCUGCCCCCUCCUUGGUGGAGCAGCAGAAGAUGAUUGAAGAGCUCAACAAGCAGAUCGAGGAGCAGAAGCGGCAGGUGGAGGAGCAGGAAGAGGCGCUCAGGCAGCAGCGGGCCGCCGUUGGGGCCUCCAUGGCCCACUUCUCCGUGUCGGACGCACUCAUGUCACCGCCUCCAAAGGCCACACUGCCCAAAGCCGAGCUAUUCUCACAGGAACCGCAGGCUGCGGUCAAGCCGGCUCCGGGCCCCACCACCAGCCAGGCCCCCGGCCCAAGCGCCGAGGCACGGCUGAGCCGGGACCCCCGGCAGGCCCGGCGGUUGGCUGUGGAGAGCAAUGAGAGCGAGGCUGCCCUGAGGGCCCCGCCAGCCAGGGAAGUACCCGGAGGGGCCUCUGCCGGUCCGGGGCUGCUGCCGGCCCAGGAGGAAACUGAGUCGGCCCCUCCACCAUGGACUCCGGGUGAAGAGGCCCCACCGCUGGCCAAACAGGAUGGUCCCCCACGUGAGCCCUCAGAAAGCCUCGGGCCAGAGAGCAUGGCCGGCCUGGAUGCCGUGGCCAGACCUGCCCGGAAGGUACUACUGCCCACACCGCCCGGAGCCUCCUUCCAGCCUCUCUACGCUCCGCAGAGUGAGGGCCAGGCCUUCCCUCCUCCUGGCUUCUCAGGGCCCAUGUAUGCGCCUCAGGAGAACCCGAUGGGCUCCUCCCAGUACGAUGACCCGAGAAAUGCUCAGUUUGCCGAGAAAAGUGACGCCCUGGCCACUGACACUGAAGGAGACAGAGAGCCCCAGGCCAGGCCAGGAGAGGGGGCUGGUGUGUUCCCCUCCUUGGCACAGAAAGGGGGACCUCCACCCCAGUUUCAGGGCCAGAGGGAGCCUACGCCGCGUGCUUUUGGGAUGUCGGGCCUUCACGGCCCCAGUUUCCCAGCUCCUCGGGGGCCAGUCCCUCCGUUUUCAGAAGAGAACACUAAUAACGACGGGCCAAGAGGAGGGCCUCCGCCGGCCAGAUUCGGGCCUCAGAAGGGCCCCAUCCCUUCCCUGUUCUCAGGGCCACAUGGGCCGCCUCCCUAUGGGGACGGCAGGGGCCCUGCCCCGUCCCACCUGGGCGGGCCCAGGGGAGCAGGGCCGCCUCCGUUGGAAGAGCGCAAGGAUGCACACGGGGAGAAGAGAGAGUACCCGGACGCCCUGUACGGCGAGGCCUCGGGUGGCCCUGCCCAGUGCGAGGGACCUGAGCAGGCCCCAUUCCCAGGAGGCCGGGGUGCCACGCCGUUCCAGUUUGGGGGCCAGAGGAGGCCUCUGCUGUCGCAGUUUAAGGGACCUCGAGGCGGCCCUCCUCCCUCUCAGUUCGGAGGUCAGCGAGGACCCCCACCCGGCCAUUUCGUGGGCCCAAGGGGGCCGCACCCUGGGCAGUUUGAGGGCCCCAGAGGCCAAGCGCCUGGCUUCGUGCCUGGACCCAGGGGGAUGCAGCCUCAGCAGUUUGAAGAGCAGCGGGUCCACUCACCGCCCCGGUUCUCCGGCCAGAGGGCACCUGCACCCCUGCCCUUUGGGGGGCCCCGGGGGGGUGCCCCAUUCCCAGAGAAGAGUGAGCCGGUGCCUCCUCGCUUCCACUUCCAGGGCCCAGCUCCUCCCGGCCCCAAGCCAACACCCAGGCCACUGCUGGAGCUGCCCAGCCACCCUCCUGCACCGUCCGCCGCACCGGCCCAGGGCCCAGAGGCCGACUUCCGCGAGGGGGCCCGGGGCCACGAGUACAGAGGCCCAAACUUCGAGGGGCGGCCCCGCGACAAGGCCCCAGAGGAGCCUGAGGCCCCGCCACCUGACAGCCGCUCAGGCCGGGCCCUGGAUGACCGGCGGCGCGAAAGGGAGCGUGGGAAGCCCUGGGAGCGGGAGCGCGGCCGGACCUGGAGCCGCGAGCGGGACUGGGACCGCGGCCGAGACUGGGACCGCCACCGUGACAAGGAUGCUGGCCGCGACUGGGACAGGAGCCGCGAGCGGAACGGGGGCAGGGACAAGGGACGUGAGUGGGACCGGGGCCGAGAGCGGAGCCGCAACCGGGACCGGGACCGCAGGCGCGACCGGGAGAGGUCCCGCAGCAGGGACCGCGACCGUGACAAGGCCCGUGAGCGGGAGCGCCGGAGGGACCGCAGCCGGAGCCCGGAGCGUCCCCGGGACCCCAAGACCGAGACCCCUCGGGCUGCUGCCCCCACUGCCCAGACCUAG
rnacentral:lncRNA from 1 species